rnacentral:rRNA from 1 species
UACGGAGGGUGCAAACGUUGCUCGGAAUCAUUGGGCGUAAAGCGCACGUAGGCGGCCUGUUAAGUCGGGUGUGAAAUCCCUCGGCUCAACCGAGGAAGUGCAUUCGAAACUGGCGGGCUUGAAUGUGGAAGAGGGUCGUGGAAUUCCCGGUGUAGAGGUGAAAUUCGUAGAUAUCGGGAGGAACACCAGUGGCGAAGGCGGCGACCUGGGCCAACAUUGACGCUGAGGUGCGAAAGUGUGGGGAGCAAACAGG